GACGAACGCUGGCGGCGUGCUUAACACAUGCAAGUCGAACGGUGAAGGUGGAGCUUGCUCCGCCGGAUCAGUGGCGAACGGGUGAGUAACACGUGGGCAACCUGCCCCUGACUUCGGGAUAACUCCUCGAAAGAGGUGCUAAUACCGGAUACGAAUCCUGCAGGCAUCUGCGGGAUUGGAAAGUUUUUCGGUCAGGGAUGGGCCCGCGGCCUAUCAGCUUGUUGGUGAGGUAGUGGCUCACCAAGGCGACGACGGGUAGCCGGCCUGAGGGGGCGACCGGCCACCCUGGGACUGGGACACGGCCCAGACUCCUGCGGGAGGCAGCAGUGGGGGAUAUUGCGCAAUGGGCGAAAGCCUGACGCAGCAACGCCGCGUGAGGGAUGACGGCCUUCGGGUUGUAAACCUCUUUCAGCAGGGAAGAAGCGAAAGUGACGGUACCUGCAGAAGAAGCACCGGCUAACUACGUGCCAGCCGCCGCAGUAA
rnacentral:rRNA from 1 species